UACGUAGGCAGCGAGCGUUGUUCGGAGUUACUGGGCGUAAAGCGUGCGUAGGCGGUGCUCCAAGUCUGUUGUGAAAUCUCCCGGCUUAACUGGGAGGGUGCGGCGGAAACUGGGGUGCUGGAGUGCGGGAGAGGUAAGCGGAAUUCCCGGUGUAGCGGUGAAAUGCGUAGAUAUCGGGGAGGAACACCUGCGGUGUAGACGGCUUACUGGACCGUAACUGACGCUGAGGCACGAAAGCGUGGGGAGCAAACAGG
rnacentral:rRNA from 1 species